rnacentral:lncRNA from 1 species
UGGAUCUUCAAAAUCAACCGUUUAACUAGAAUUAACUAUAAAAACUGACAAAAAAAUUUAAAAAUUAUUUUGAGUUUUGAAAAGCUUAGCUAUGUACUCGAUCAGAAUCUCCCUAUAUUGCUAAAUCAUCCAAUUAUUGACUAACGAAAAGCGCUAGAUAAAUGGAUGAAUGAUGAUAAUAAAGUCCGGUGCUAUAUUUUGCUUCAACGCUAACAUAAGGACAUGAAG